GUAAAAACAGAUCGGGGCGAGGCGGGCCGGGUAAUUGAAGUUUUCGAUUCGGGCCAGUUCCCAAAGUAUAGGAACUGCGGGUACCCGGACCGGCCCGUUUGUGUUACAAUGGACGGACGAGUUUUAAGAUAUCAUCCCUAGCCAAUCUCAACUGUUUGUUUCAACCCUAGCCAAUUCCACCUCCCGAGUUCCAGAAGCACCUUCAGACAUUCAAUCUCUCAGAUUCUCAGACUCUCCCUCGACUCCCUCUCUCUAUCCCUUCCCUCGACUCGCAGUGGUCACCACCGUCGGGACCAACACAACAGCACCACCAACUCCGUUGUCGUGACCACCAUCACUCACCCCAUCACCACCUUCGAGCUUCAACUCUCAGACUCUCACAGCGCUGUCGCGACCAACACAACGGCACCACCUCCGCCAUUGCGACCACCAUCAUCACCCCAUCACCACCGUCGAGGACACUGCUACUAUCAGUACCAAUCAUCAUCCCUCUAAAAUUUAAGUAAUUUUGAAUUAGGUUUUAUUAUUAAUGUGAAUUUCUGGUGUAGGGAUUUUUAGGGGUUUUAAGUUAGAAUUUGUAGAUUGAUGAUUGAGAUGUAAAAAUGUUUCAGGAUCUGGAAUAUGAACUGGGAGAAGUAGAAUUUGUAGAUUGAUGAUUGAGCUGUAAAAAAUAUCCCUCUUUUGAUUUUUUUCAGAUGGAGUGUUUUCUUUAAGAAAUUAUUUAAGAUGGCACAUAAAAGCUUAACUGCUAAGAACCCUCUUACGAUUUUUAGCAAAGGUUUAGCAAAGGUCUUAAAUUCAUGGUAACUGAUAUUUUUCUGAGUUAUUGUUAUUUUUUGGAGAUGCAGUUUUUCAGAUCUUGUAUUGGACUUUUUUCGUUGGUUUUCAAUAGUUUAGAUCACUGUUUUUCUGUUAUUUUAUGAUUCAAUUUUUCAAGUUUUUUAAUGUAAAUUAUGUUAGUUUGGUUUUGUUUUUAUGUUCUUAAUUGUGCUUUGUGUGAUAUUUUAAUUUCACUUGUACUGAUUUGGGAAAAUAUAUAAACCUCACCUAUUUGUUUCUGUGUUGACUGUAGCUAUCUGUUGAUCUUGGAUUGAACAAACUGGAAAUCGAACAUUCUUACAGGGCCAUUGAUCCCCUACAUUUUCUUUACCCUUCCUUCAAUAUUGUUCAACAUCUUCAAGUUAUUUUCCACAUAUAUUUCCUGUUGUCGGUGUUUUUGGUUCGUUCUAUUCCCUAAAAAUCUUUAUUUUUCCAGGGGAGAGAUUGGAAAACGGAUUGCUCUUGUUGGUGUUGUCUUACAACUUUUCUUCCCUAAACGUUUCCCAGAGUAGCUGGAAUUGCCCACAUCAUUGAUUCUUCUUAUAGUGGUUGCUCCUAGUUUAUUUGCGAACACUGUGAGAGGCGACUGGAUUGGUGUUGUAAUAUGCCUUCUCAUCGCCGGUUAUUUGCUGCAAGAACACAUCCGGGCAGCUGGUGGGUUCAGAGAUGCUUUCACCAAAGCUGGUGGAAUAUCGAACUCUGUUGGCAUAAUCAUUAUGUUCGUCUACCCUGUUUAGGCCAUUGUACUUUAUAUCUUAUAGAAACUUUCACUGCCAUGCUUGCCAUCAUGAUUCAUCUGGAGUGUUUUUGAGUUUCUACAUUUUCUUAGGUUCCUUUUGGUGUCGUUAAUUCAUGUAAUUCAUACCUUCAUUGUAUUUG